GUGAACAAACAUAAAUGGCCAUUAUGGUGUUUUCAGGACAUCAGGAACACUAUUUUGCACUAUUGGAUGUGUUUGGUUGAGUUUAUGAUGUUAGAAGAGAAAUGGAAGCAACCAAUACAUUCACAGACCUGUUAUUUAUGACUGACAAAUAUGGCAGCCACUACUGCUAGAUUUAAGUACAGUAUGGUAAGUUCACAUGCAAGUUUAGGAAUCAUUUCUUUUCUGACAACGUGUCAAGAAUCCUGACAUCAUAAAUGGCCUAUCACAGUGAGACCUCUACCUGCCUCACAUUCAUUUUAUUUCAUGCUUGCAGUGAAUGCUGACUUAUUCUUCAAACUGUAUAAUAUUUCUUCUGAGGCAAGAGACUAGUUAUGUAAUAUAGACCCUCAAAAUGGUUCAUUUAUGAAAGUGUAAAACCACAGUUGUAAUGACGUAAUGUGAUGUUAUUCCAUAUUUGUGCAAGUAAUGCUAUUUCUAUGGGUAAGCACAUGCAUUUACAGACCAGCCAAGCCGUAUCAAUAGUGGUUUAAAAAUGUGCACUAUAUGAGUUGGGCACACUGGGUGUGUGCUUUUCUGAGUGUGCAAACAUUUGCACCUGCAUAUAAAAAGUGGAUGAUUUGUAGAAAUGUAAUGAUCAAAAGUAGUGCAUUUAGGAAGGGGGUGGUGCUUCCUGCAUUUUUCCACCAACAGGAACUUGAUUUUUCUAUCACUUUCUAGGUGGGGCAGAUCAAAUUCAAGUCACAAAGAUGCCUUUGUACCUUCAUGCUGCAUUUUUGCAUACAAGUCUAUUAAACGUUCUAUCAUCUGA